GGAUAACCUACUCUAUAAGACUGGGAUAACUUCGGGAAACCGGAGCCUAAUACCGGAUAAUAUAUUGAACCGCAUGGUUCAAUAGUGAAAGACGGUUUUGCUGUCACUUAUAGAUGGAUCCGCGCCGCAUUAGCUAGUUGGUAAGGUAACGGCUUACCAAGGCAACGAUGCGUAGCCGACCUGAGAGGGUGAUCGGCCACACUGGAACUGAGACACGGUCCAGACUCCUACGGGAGGCAGCAGUAGGGAAUCUUCCGCAAUGGGCGUAUUAUGCCUGACGGAGCAACGCCGCGUGAGUGAUGAAGGUCUUCGGAUCGUAAAACUCUGUUAUUAGGGAAGAACAAAUGUGUAAGUAACUAUGCACGUCUUGACGGUACCUACUCAGAAAGCCACGGCUAACUACGUGCCAGCAGCCGCGGUAAUACGUAGGUGGCAAGCGUUAUCCGGAAUUAUUGGGCGUAAAGCGCCCGUAGGCGGUUUUUUAAGUCUGAUGUGAAAGCCCACGGCUUAACCGUGGAGGGUCAUUGGAAACUGGAAAACUUGAGUGCAGAAGAGGAAAGUGGAAUYCYAUGUGUASCGGUGAAAUGCGCAGAGAUAUGGAGGAACAC
rnacentral:rRNA from 1 species